AGAAACACCAGGGGGAGAUGAGGGGGCUCCUCAUCUCAACGACUGAAACACAACUUCAGUCUGACACAGAACCAUGGAACACAUUUAACAGUCCCCUCGAGGCAUCGUGACUCCUCAGGAACAGUUUCAUUUCCAAGAAGGUCUUAAUCUGGGGAAAUCCCCAGAUGGAUCCUGCUCCUCAAGAGCCACCCCCCUCCACUGGGUGGUCUUCUGAACAGAUGACCUCCUUCUUGUCCUCAAGGCUGACUAAAGCUGCACCGUUUGCAUUCAGGAAACCACUGGACUACAAAGACAUGACUUCAGAGACGUUGAAUCAACCUCGGACACAUUUUGGAGACGCCAAGCAUAAUCCAUCACCAAUGUGGGACGCCACUGAAGAAUGUUGUACAUAAUUUACGUCUCUGGAGACAUUGGUUGUUCUGUUAUGGGUGCCCUGGCAGGGGUGGGGGGGGUGAUGGAAUGUUAUUUGGCAUGAGGUUUUUACCCUGCAUGAUUGUUUGGCCUUUUAUGGCUCAGUGGUGGUGUGUGUGUGUUUGGGUUUGACAUGAGCUGGAAGAUUUUUGAGUAUCGCUAGGGUUCUGUGUGUGUUUCCCACUCACACCUGGCAUGGGGUCUGUGUGUGUGUGUCCGCCUUGCUUUGACAGUGAUAAUGUUCACACGGGGGUCUGUGUGAUGGGCUUGGGAUAUUGGAAUGGUCAACUAAAUCAUGCCUGAUGGACGGCCACACGUUUACUUAAGGGCCUCCAGUAGACAUGAAGAGCCCUGAGCUAUGCUCCGGAGCGAUAUCCAAAACACUGGGCAGGAAGGAGAGUACCCAACUCAAGUGUAAAAGGAUGCAAGUGGUGUGUUCAGAUCAGUGACUUCAAGCUAGGACUACACCAAUCAGGAUCAAUGGAGGAUGGACACCAAAAGGAAUUCCACAAGGAGAGUCUGACGUUGGAAAGGGACCUAAAUGGAUAUUCAAGAUGACCUUCAGACCUGUAAUGAGACGGCUCUUCCUACCUGGCUGGAUUGAUGGAGAGCCCUGUGGAUCUUGUCUUGCUCUCAGUUGCACGUCUUCUCAGGCUGAACUGUAUUUGUUUCGGACAGGACUAGCUGAACGAUUGGUUCCCUUAAAUCGGAACCAAUCCGGGAACUCCAGCUAGUGCGCUCUUCGAGCUGAAGUGUUGCUCUUCAGCUGAGGAGGUAAGGGAACCUUCACUGGGGCUUCAAGAUGUAAAGAGGAGAAUGUUUCAAAGUGUUCCAUGGUACUCUGAUGAAGACCGUUGUUGUGUUCUACUGGCUGAGAGGAAGAACCCACACAUCUUCCUCUUGGCCUUUCUCCUCUGAGAAUCCUGGCGCCAUCUUGAAGGAUAUUCCAUUUCAUGUAACUGAUGUCACGACAGAUUCUCAAACACUUGGUUUCUCCUGAGGGGCGUUUCUAUAGAACUGAAGACUUCAGACAGCACUGUAUCCCAGCAUGCAUCUCUGCUCACUCAGACCACACCCCAUGAGUAGGAUGCAACACUAGUGAUGGCGAUGUAGAGUUUUAUAAGUAACGUGGGAGCAGACUAAGGGGAUUAGAACACAAUGGAAUGUGAAGUCUGUAAAUCUUUAAACCAUGAAGAUGGUUGGAUAGUUCAGGAAUUGGGCUUUUUAAUAUGGGCAGUCUUUUCACUCGGAUGCUCACUGGAGCUGUACAUGUGUUGGCUGGCUGGCAUGAUUUGCUGUUGGUGAUGAGGCGGUCAGGGUGACGUUGCAGGGCUAUGGUUGGCUCUCGGUGAGCUCAACGUUUAGAUUUGCUCCGUAUGGUUUGUACCCUGAAUAAUCUAGAUAAUUGUAAAAUGUAGACACGGUUUUGUAUUGAAUGAUUCCAGGAUUUUAGGUUUAAAGUUGUUGCACAUGGUUAUUUGCUUCUUCGUAUGGUUUUGAGUGAUAUAACUUGUACACACUGGGUGCAUAGUAGUAGUAAUGACCAACAGCAACAAACAGAUCUCCUCAAGGUAAGUCUGUUGGCUGUAUUUUUAAUGAAGACCAUCGCUGGACUUCAGGAUCUUCCUCCGUUCAGCUCAAGGUGAGGCGCCGGUUAUGUUUUUUCUUUGGUUGGUUCCGGCCGGAAUGUUCGGAUUCCAGUCGGACGGUUUGUGCUUCCCGCCGUGGAAGGUUCUGAGUGCGGUCACUUGAUUUAGUCCCAAUGGUUAGCAUAGAACGUUGUAGUCUUGACAACCAUAAGAAACCACCUGGCAGUUAGUUGGACGGGAGUCCCCUAAGGGAAUCUGGCGGAACGUUCUCGCUUGUAUUUGCGUAACCUCGUGCCGUUGCCAACGGAAACUAUUUCAGUCGGUUUCCAUGGGGAAUUGUUGCCCCUAUUUUAAACAACUUAAGUUUGAUAUUAAAUACAUACCGACACGUACGUCGUACAAUAUGUUGAUAAUUUCCGAUGGUUGCGCCGUACUUUUACGUUGACGGGACUCGCGCUGCGUACAGAACGGCGUUCUACUUGGGGCCCCAUUUUUGACAUCAGUGAAGGCUGAAAAUCAUUUCAAGGUGGAAGACAUUUUGACAUUUCUUCAAGGAACCCAGCACCUGAAUAUGGCUGAGUAAAUUUGAUUUUAUAUCGAUACUGCUUAGUGUUCUUUGUUACUUCAGCUUUUGUACGUUCUAAAUAUCUGCUGUCAUUAAUUGCCACAGAAGCUAAACCCUACCCAAUAGAAUGACGUUAAACAACAACUUUGGUGCAGAGUUAGCAACUGGAUAAUAUCAAAGCUAAAAUAAUGGCCGUCAUUCCCACAUGUUACAGUAGAAGAUACUCUAGUGCUGUACAAGGUUAAAAAGGUAACAUGUAGUUUGUCCCAAGGUGUCUGCCUCCUCACCCAGAGCAAGAGCUCCACCUCCUCACCCAGAGCCAGACCUCCACCUCCUGUCAGAAGUCCCCCAGAACAGAUGCUGAUAUAAACCUGCUGUAGCUGAAAGGCGUGGCCGUGAGGCUGGGGACCGGAGGCUUGUGGUGCCAGGGUGGACCGGAGACUGAGGCUCGAGACCAGCGGCCUGCAGCACCGGACCAUAGGACCAGGAAUCCAUGGCUGAAGGAGCUGAUGGAGGUGCCGUGCUGAAGGAGCUGAUGGAGUAGCCGUGCUGAAGUAGCUGAUGGAGGAGUCGUGCUGAAUGCCCUGCCUUGUAGAGCAGCUGCUGGAGGCCCUGCCUGGUGAAGGACGUCUGUCGUGGGACCAGGACUCUGUCUGAGGAGAGCUGCUGGAGGAGCUGAGACGCUGGAGGACGACUAGGAAUCGACCAACAAGGAUACCUCAACGUGUUUCUGGAGCGGAGGCGAGCUGGUAGGGGAGCCGUGAAUCUGGAGGAUGACCAUCACUCUACCAAUAAGGAUUACUUUAGGGCCAGACUCGCGCUGUUUGUUCAGGACCAGGACUCUGGCUGAGGAGAGCUGAUGGAGGAGCCAAGACUCUGGAGGACGACAUCACUCCACCAACCAGGAUCCUUCACCAGGAAUCUGGAGGACUGAUGGAGAAGCCGAACAUCUGGAAGGCAAAUCCUGAGGACCAACAGCACUACCAUCAAGGAUUCCUCAUAAGUUUGCAUUAUCUGGACAUGGUGGACUAGGUAGACACACCUGAGCUAAACCCGCCCUGAUUCUGACAUCCUGCUGGUCCCGCCUCCUCAGUUCAUCUGAGCCUCGUCCUCCAGAAGACCUGCUGAGCUCAGCAGUCUGAGGCUGAUGGAUCAAUGACCUCCAGUGGGAGUGAUCUUCUUGACCCCACAUGUAACCGUGUGCUUCCACACCCCUUUCCCUCACGUCUGUCACUUACCUCACUACUUAACCACUCACUACUGCUUCCUCUUUUCUUCCUUCUCUGUGGUUCAAACCGUUACACGGAAGGCGCGUCUUCCUGCCCUCAGAGGGUUUAGCGUUAGGGUUGAGAGUCAGGGUUUAGAGUCAGGGACAGAGCUGGUCAGGGAGGACUGCUUUUACACAAACCUCUUCACUUGCUUUCGGAAUGGUGGUGACAUUUUGAAAAGAUUCAUUUGGGAAAAUGUUUUCCUCUGCUUU